AUGUGGGGGAGGAAAAGCAAGCGAGUGAGAAAAGGCUGUGGAGCCAACUUCACAACCAGGCUCUGGAGCAAGCCACAGAGCUUGGUGUUCCUUAAAGUUCUUGCACGCCUGGGGAAAAGGGGACACCCAGGGAAAACUAUUGGGCUUCCUCUUCCUAAAAAUCCGAAUCCUAAACCCUACAAGUGGAAAGGUGAAGUUCCCCAAACCCCACACGCUCCGGGAGCGCACCUCUCACGGAAGGCGCCCACCUCCCCGCGCGCCCUUGGGCAGCCAGUGUCUCAAAGCUCCAGACCUCCAGCCCAGGGCAAAGAGGGCGCCGUAGGAGAGUCUAUGCAAGGUUCCAGAGUGUGGAUCCGUGAAACCUCAAGAAAUUCAAUCAGUGUGGAAGCAGACCUUAUGGAGAGUGGGUCUCUACAUCUUUAUCAUGGAAGAGACUUUAUCCUAACUUGGGGGUAGGAGAGGAGAUGAGGGACAAAGGCCACUGCCUGUGACAGGGCAUGGCCUGGUCAGUGCCUGUUCCCUGACUGAGGCCCAGCCCCCUUCGCCUGUGCCCAUCACCAGUGCCACCAGCAUGUCUGACAAACUGCCAUACAAAGUCGCUGAUAUUGGCCUGGCUGCCUGAGGGUGCAAGGCCCUGGAUAUUGUGGAGAACGAGAUGCUGGGCCUGAUGCGCUUGCAUGAGCAGUACUUGGCCUCCAAGCCACUGAAGGGCACCCACAUUGCCGGCUGCUUGCACAUGACCAUGGAGACAGCUGUCUUCAUUGAGAUCCUUGUCGCCCUGGGUGCUGAGGUGCCGUGGUCCAGCUGCAACAUCUUCUCCACCUAGGACCAUGCAGCGGCUGCCAUUGCCAAUGCUGGCAUUCCAGUGUAUGCCUGGAAGGGUGAAACCGACGAGGUGUACCUGUGGUGCACUGAGCAGAUGCUGUACUUCAAGGAUGGGCCCCUCAACAUAAUUCUGGAUGACGGGGUCGACCUCACCAACCUCAUGCAUACCAAGUACCCACAGCUCCUGCCUGGCAUCUGCGGCAGCUCUGAGGAGACCACGACCAGGGUCCACAACCUCUACAAGAUGAAGGCCAGUGGGAUCCUGAAGGUGCCUGCCAUCAAUGUCAACAAUUCCGUCACCAAGAGCAAGUUUGACAACCUCCUCUGCCGGGAGUCCCUCAUAGAUGGCAUCAAGCUGGCCACAGCUGUGAUGAUUGCCAGCAAGGUGGUGGUGGUAGCAGGCUAUGGUGAUGUGGGCAAGGGCUGUGCCCAGGCCCUGCGGGGUUUCGGGGCCCAUGUCAUCAUCACCGAGACUGACCCCAUCAAUGCACUGUAGGCUGCCGUGGAGGGCUAUGAGGUGACCACCGUGGAUGAGGCCUGUCAGGAGGGCAAUAUCUUUGUCACCACCACAGGCUGUGUUGACAUCAUCCUUGGUCAGCACUUUGAACAGAUGAAGGAUGAUGCCAUCAUGUGUAACAUUGGACACUUUGACUUGGAGAUUAUGUCAAGUGGCUCAACGAGAACGCUGUAGAGAAGGUGAACAUCAAGCUGCAGGUGGACCAGUACCAGCUGAAGAAUGGGCGCCACAUCAUCCUGCUGGCUAAGGGUCGGCUGGUCAACUUGGGUUGUGCCAUGGGCCACCUCAGCUUUGUGAUGAGUAACUACUUCACCAACCAGGUGAUGGCACAGAUCAAGCUGAGGACCCACCCAGACAAGUACCCUGUUGGGGUUCACUUCCUGCCCAAAAAGCUGCAUGAGGCAGUGGCUGAUGCCCACCUGGGCAAGCUGAACAUGGAGUCGACCAUGGUGACUGAGAAGUAGGCCCAGUACCUGGGCAUAUCCUGUAACGGCCCCUUCAAGCCGGAUCACUACCGCUACUGAGAGCCAGGUCUGUGCUUUGCAUUCCAGCUGCUGUCCUUGCCCAGGCCUGCCUCUCCUCCCUAAGAACAAAUGGCACCAACUUUGUGACUGGUUUGUCAAUGUCCCCCAUAACUCUCUGGGGCCAGUCACUCAGUGUUUGGUCUCUGCUGCAGCCCUCAUAAGGUUCCAGGGGUGGCAGUGAGAACUGAGAGGUCCCUUCUCAAGCCUUGGUCAUGAUGGAGGUACCAGCCACAGGGAGCCAUGAGCUCAGUGGUCUUGGAACUGCUUACUAAGUAAGUCCUUCCUUAGCCUCGAAGUCAGUAGUGGAGUCACAAAGCCCAUGUAUUUUGCCAUCUAGGCCUUCACCUGGUCUGCGGACUUAGACCUGUGUGCUUGGUUUACAGGUUCAAUGGUUCCUCAGCACAUGGCAGAUGAGAAGGAGCUAUAUUAAAGGGCAAAAAGGAACUGCUGUUUGAAUUUUCCUCAGAACCUGACUUAGUUCUGGGCCUUCUUUUAAACCUCAUAACAAUGAGGUUAGUACUUUUAGUCCCUGUUUUACAGGGGUUAGAAUAGACUGUUAAGGGGCAACUGAGAAAGAACAGAAAAGUGACAGUCAGAGGUUGAGAGGAGCCAGGAAAAACAUAAAAGCAGGCAUAGACCUGCCACCACUUUUUAACUAGAUGGUUUCUAUCACAACUCUCGAUCAAAAAGAUAAUAAUUUGGCCUAUAAUGUUUAUAAUGUUAAAAGAAAGCAAGAAUGUGGGUAAAUAAAAAUCUUGGUGCCUAAAAGAAAAAAAAAAGAAAUGCUACUUGUUUAUAUUUAUUAUUUGAUAUAGGUAAGUCUCACCCUUGAGCCUGAAUGCUCUUUGAGUCAGAAAAAUAUAUUUGACAAGUUUCAUGCAAGUUUCACUCUUUCUUCCCACUAAGCCUUCACAUAUUCCACUAGCUCUGAUCAGAAUACCCUCCCAAUUCCUUUUCAGAAACACUCUCAUUCUUUGCUCACAACCUGACUUACCUCACUAGUGGGCUAUCUUCAGAUCUGGCUGUCAGAUAAGUAUCUCUUUAGGGGUUACAUUAUCUCUCUCUAGAUUACUUAUUGUUAAAUUAUGGUUUUUUUGUUUUCCUUAUUUGGAUUUUAUAAUGUAAAAAAAUAUCAUAGGUAUAGUCUUUGGUCCCACAAAUUUUAAAAGCCAUGUAUAGCAUGCUGGCCACCUUAGGAUAGAAUAUUCCAGGGUAUGGACUGGGUGCAGUUGCUUAUGACUGUAAUCCCAGAACUUUGGGAGGCUGAGGUGGGUGGAUCAUAAUGUAAAGAGAUUGAGACCAUCCUAGAGAUGGUGAAACACUGUCUCUACUAAAAAUACAAAAAUUAAUUGGGCUUGGUGGUGCAUGCCUAUAGUCCCAGCUACUCAGGAGGCUGAGGCAGGAGAAUCACUUGAACUGGGAGGUGGAGGUUGCAGUGAGCCGAGAGAGCGCAACUGCACUCCAGCCUGGUGACAGAGCAAGACUCCAUAAAAGAAAACCAAAAAGUUAAGAAACAACACCAAAAGCAAUGGCAAAAAAAGCCAAAAUAGACAAAUAGGAUCUAAUUAAACUUAAGAGCUUCUGCACAGCAAAAGAAACUAUCAUUAGAGUGAACUGGCAACCAACAGAAUGGGAAAAAAUUUUUACAAUCUACCCAUCUGACAAAAGGCUAAUAACCAGAAUCUACAAAGAACUUAAAUAAAUUUACAAGAAAAAAAAACCCCAUCAAAAAGUGGGCAAAGGAUAUGAACAGAUGCUUCUCAAAAGAAGUCAUUUAUGCAGCUAACAAACAUAUAUAAAAAAAAGCUCACCAUUACUGGUCAUUAGAAAAUGCAAAUCAAAACCACAUUGAGAUACCAUCUCAUGCCACUUAGAAUGGUGAUCAUCAAAAAUCAGGAGACAACAGAUGCUGGAGGAUGUGGAGAAACAGGAAUGCUUUUACACUGUUGGUGGGAGUAUAAAUUAGUUCAACCAUUGUGGAAGACAGCGUGACAAUUCCUCAAGGAUCUAGAACUAGAAAUUCCGUUUGACUCAGCAAUCAAUUUCAUUAAUGAGUAUAUACCCAAAGGAUUAUAAAACAUUCAAUUAUAAGACACAUGCACACAUAUGUUUAUUGUGGCACUGUUUACAAUAGUAAAGACUUGGAACUAAUCCAAAUGCCCAUCAAUGAUAGACUGGAUAAAGAAAAUGUGGCACAUAUACACCAUGGAAUACUAUGCAGCCAUAAAAAAGGAUCAGUGCAUGUCCUUUGCAGGCCAUGGAUGAAGCUGGAAACCAUCAUUCUCAGCAAAUUGACAUAAGAACAGAAAACCAAACACCACAUGUUUUCAGUCAUAAGUGGGUGUUGAACAAUGAGAACACAUGGACACAGGGAGGGGAACAUCACACACCAGGGC
ensembl:lncRNA